UUUUUUUUAUCUGCGCGAUCAGGAUUAUGCCGCUUCAGCGUCAGGUUUACGCGUUUGGAAACCAGCCCUUUAUUUUGGGAAGAGACACCAAGGAGGUCACAUCCAAAGAUCAUCUUAAAAAUCAACUAUGAAUACUAAGAAAAUAAUUACACCUGGAGUUGCCAUAUUCAGAGAGAUGUUACAUGCCUUUGGAAAUUCCUAAUGGCUCCUGAAAAUGCCGUUGUCAUCAUUGGCUGACAAAGGUUGCCUCCAGAAAUGUAGGAGGAAUUAAAGCGUGUACCAGAAAUUAAGGGGUGUGGAGAGUUUGCUGGGCGGGGAGAGAAGCAACCAGAGUAGGUGAUGCCCAAAGCAUUCCCCCCCCCCCAAUCCAGUUGUGCUCCUGGACCAAAAAGGUUGGCCAAGUGAAAUAUUUCCUUCUGAACUGGAAGAUUGCAGAACCUUCCGCAGACGUUACUAGUGGGUAGAUAGAUAUAAAAAACUUUAAACAUGGUGGCUGUUAAUGUGGAGAUCCAGUCAAGUCUAUGACAAAUUAUGUCCCACGCACUAACAUUCAAUGGAUCCUUCAACUGAGGUUCAGAUUUGCUCCGCUGUGACCCAGUGGAACAGGGAAGAAAACUUAACCAGUAGAAUCACAGACUCGGCACUGAAACUAAUCACUCGGAGCAAAAGUUGGUGUGGAUGAACCCUAAACCUCUCCUGAACUUUGCUGUCAGAUAAAAGUGGGAGUUAGGGCAAUCUCAUACACAGAAGUGAAAGAAUGUUUAUCAUGUAUGCAUUUAGCAACCAAGUCAGAUUCGUUUUUGUAUGCACGUUUAUAUGUGAUAGCAUUAUUAUAUUGUAUUAUUUUAAUGGAAGCAUUGGGAAUCCUUCUGGAUCCAAAGGUGGGACAAACAUCAAAUAAAUAUGUU